rnacentral:tRNA from 1 species
GGGCCGGUAGCUCAAACGGUAGAGCCCUCCGCUCUUAACGGAGGAGAUGAGGAUCGAAACCUCCCCGGCCCACCA